rnacentral:rRNA from 1 species
CGAUAACGAACGAGACCUUAACCUGCUAAAUAGCCAGGCUAGCUUUGGCCGGUCGCCGGCUUCUUAGAGGGACUAUCGGCUCAAGCCGAUGGAAGUUUGAGGCAAUAACAGGUCUGUGAUGCCCUUAGAUGUUCUGGGCCGCACGCGCGCUACACUGACAGAGCCAACGAGUUCAUCACCUUGACCGAAAGGUCUGGGUAAUCUUGUUAAACUCUGUCGUGCUGGGGAUAGAGCAUUGCAAUC